rnacentral:rRNA from 1 species
CGAAAGCCUGACGGAGCAACGCCGCGUGUGGGAAGAAGGCUCUUGGGCUGUCAACCACUUUUCUCAGGGAAGAAGUCCUGACGGUACCUGAGGAAUCAGCCUCGGCUAACUCCGUGCCAGCAGCCGCGGUAAUACGGAGGAGGCAAGCGUUAUCCGGAAUUACUGGGCGUAAAGCGUUCGUAGGGGGCUCGUCAAGUCUGCUGUCAAAGACCGAGGCUCAACCUCGGGUCGGCAGUGGAAACUGGAUAGCUAGAGGUCGGUAGGGGCAAAGGGAAUUCCCAGUGUAGCGGUGAAAUGCGUAGAUAUUGGGAAGAACACCGGUGGCGAAAGCGCUUUGCUGGACCGAACCUGACGCUGAGGGACGAAAGCUAGGGGAGCG